GACGAACGCUUGUGCGGCGAUGCUUAACACAUGCAAGUCGAACGGAAAGGCCCUGCUUUUGUGGGGUGCUCGAGUGGCGAACGGGUGAGUAACACGUGAGUAACCUGCCCUUGACUUUGGGAUAACUUCAGGAAACUGGGGCUAAUACCGGAUAGGAGCUCCUGCUGCAUGGUGGGGGUUGGAAAGUUUCGGCGGUUGGGGAUGGACUCGCGGCUUAUCAGCUUGUUGGUGGGGUAGUGGCUUACCAAGGCUUUGACGGGUAGCCGGCCUGAGAGGGUGACCGGCCACAUUGGGACUGAGAUACGGCCCAGACUCCUACGGGAGGCAGCAGUGGGGAAUAUUGCACAAUGGGCGGAAGCCUGAUGCAGCAACGCCGCGUGCGGGAUGACGGCCUUCGGGUUGUAAACCGCUUUCGCCUGUGACGAAGCGUGAGUGACGGUAAUGGGUAAAGAAGCACCGGCUAACUACGUGCCAGCAGCCGCGGUGAUACGUAGGGUGCGAGCGUUGUCCGGAUUUAUUGGGCGUAAAGGGCUCGUAGGUGGUUGAUCGCGUCGGAAGUGUAAUCUUGGGGCUUAACCCUGAGCGUGCUUUCGAUACGGGUUGACUUGAGGAAGGUAGGGGAGAAUGGAAUUCCUGGUGGAGCGGUGGAAUGCGCAGAUAUCAGGAGGAACACCAGUGGCGAAGGCGGUUCUCUGGGCCUUUCCUGACGCUGAGGAGCGAAAGCGUGGGGAGCGAACAGGCUUAGAUACCCUGGUAGUCCACGCUGUAAACGGUGGGUACUAGGUGUGGGGUCCAUUCCACGGGUUCCGUGCCGUAGCUAACGCUUUAAGUACCCCGCCUGGGGAGUACGGCCGCAAGGCUAAAACUCAAAGGAAUUGACGGGGCCCCGCACAAGCGGCGGAGCAUGCGGAUUAAUUCGAUGCAACGCGUAGAACCUUACCUGGGUUUGACAUGGAUCGGGAGUGCUCAGAGAUGGGUGUGCCUCUUUUGGGGUCGGUUCACAGGUGGUGCAUGGCUGUCGUCAGCUCGUGUCGUGAGAUGUUGGGUUAAGUCCCGCAACGAGCGCAACCCUUGUUCACUGUUGCCAGCACGUUAUGGUGGGGACUCAGUGGAGACCGCCGGGGUCAACUCGGAGGAAGGUGGGGAUGACGUCAAGUCAUCAUGCCCCUUAUGUCCAGGGCUUCACGCAUGCUACAAUGGCUGGUACAGAGAGUGGCGAGCCUGUGAGGGUGAGCGAAUCUCGGAAAGUCGGUCUCAGUUCGGAUUGGGGUCUGCAACUCGACCUCAUGAAGUCGGAGUCGCUAGUAAUCGCAGAUCAGCAACGCUGCGGUGAAUACGUUCCCGGGGCU
rnacentral:rRNA from 1 species